AUUGAACGCUGGCGGCAGGCUUAACACAUGCAAGUCGAGCGAGCGGCGGACGGGUGAGUAAUGUCUGGGAAACUGCCUGCUGGAGGGGGAUAACUACUGGAAACGGUAGCUAAUACCGCAUACCAUCAGAUGUGCCCAGAUGGGAUUAGCUAGUAGUUGGGGUAAUGACUCACCUAGGCGACGAUCCCUAGCUGGUCUGAGAGGAUGACCAGCCACACAGAAACUGGGACACGGUACAGACUCCGACGGGAGGCAGCAGUGGGGAAUAUUGCGCAGUGGGCGCAAGCCUAAUGCAGCCAUGCCGCGUGUGUGAAGAAGGCCUUCGGGUUGUAAAGCACUUUCAGCGGGGAGGCGUUACGCGCAGAAGAAGCACCGGCUAACUCCGUGCCAGCAGCCGCGGUAAUAC
rnacentral:rRNA from 1 species